rnacentral:rRNA from 1 species
CCUACGGGAGGCAGCAGUGGGGAAUAUUGCACAAUGGGCGCAAGCCUGAUGCAGCCAUGCCGCGUGUGUGAAGAAGGCCUUCGGGUUGUAAAGCACUUUCAGCGGGGAGGAAGGCGGUGAGGUUAAUAACCUCAUCGAUUGACGUUACCCGCAGAAGAAGCACCGGCUAACUCCGUGCCAGCAGCCGUGGUAAUACGGAGGGUGCAAGCGUGAAUCGGAAUUACUGGGCGUAAAGCGCACGCAGGCGGUCUGUCAAGUCGGAUGUGAAAUCCCCGGGCUCAACCUGGGAACUGCAUUCGAAACUGGCAGGCUAGAGUCUUGUGGAGGGGGGUAGAAUUCCAGGUGUAGCGGUGAAAUGCGUAGAGAUCUGGAGGAAUACCGGUGGCGAAGGCGGCCCCCUGGACAAAGACUGACGCUCAGGUGCGAAAGCGUGGGGAGCAAACAGGAUUAGAUACCCGAGUAGUC